AUUGAGCGCUGGCGGCAGGCCUAACACAUGCAAGUCGAGCGGAUGAAGGGAGCUUGCUCCUGGAUUCAGCGGCGGACGGGUGAGUAAUGCCUAGGAAUCUGCCUGGUAGUGGGGGAUAACGUCCGGAAACGGGCGCUAAUACCGCAUACGUCCUGAGGGAGAAAGUGGGGGAUCUUCGGACCUCACGCUAUCAGAUGAGCCUAGGUCGGAUUAGCUAGUUGGUGGGGUAAAGACCUACCAAGGCGACGAUCCGUAACUGGUCUGAGAGGAUGAUCAGUCACACUGGAACUGAGACACGGUCCAGACUCCUACGGGAGGCAGCAGUGGGGAAUAUUGGACAAUGGGCGAAAGCCUGAUCCAGCCAUGCCGCGUGUGUGAAGAAGGUCUUCGGAUUGUAAAGCACUUUAAGUUGGGAGGAAGGGCAGUAAGUUAAUACCUUGCUGUUUUGACGUUACCAACAGAAUAAGCACCGGCUAACUUCGUG
rnacentral:rRNA from 1 species